rnacentral:rRNA from 1 species
UACUAGAGUAGCACUCGCAUAUCAAUAAGCGGAGGAAAAGAAACUAACAAGGAUUCCCUUAGUAACGGCGAGUGAAGCGGGAAGAGCUCAAAUUUGAAAUCUUCAAGGUUCUACCUUGACGAAUUGUAGUUUAAAGAAGUGUUUUCUGUUAGUGGAGUGGCAAAAGUUCUUUGGAAUAGGACAUCAUAGAGGGUGAGAAUCCCGUAUUUGGUCAUUCCUUCUAGCUUUGUGAUACACUUUCAAAGAGUCGGAUUGUUUGGGAAUGCAGUCCAAAAUGGGUGGUAAAUUUCAUCUAAAGCUAAAUAUUGGCGAGAGACCGAUAGCGAACAAGUACCGUGAGGGAAAGAUGAAAAGAACUUUGAAAAGAGAGUUAAACAGUACGUGAAAUUGUCAAAAGGGAAGCGUUUGACACCAGUGUUGUUUUUCUGAAAAUCAAUUAAAGAACUGUUUAUGCUAAGUUGUUUAGACUUUAUCAGCUAACUGUUUAGUUUUGAGCUUUUCUUUAAUGCACUUUUCAGUUAACAAGUCAACAUCAAUUUCCUUUUGCUGUAAAAAAGCUUGAGGAAGGUGGCUUGAGAUUCGUCUUAAGUGUUUAUAGCCUCUUGCCUAUGCAGUCGGAGAGAUUGAGGUCUGCAGCGUAGAUCCUUCGGGGCUAAAUGCAUUUGUAGCUAAGUUAUAGCAUUUCAUAGACAACUUGUUGACUAUGAUUUGUCUUGUAGCUUACUCGCUUAUGUUAUUUUACCUACGCUUAGGAUGUUGAUAUCGCGCUCUCACUG